rnacentral:misc_RNA from 1 species
AACCUAGCACACCUGCGGUGUGUACCUGCGGAGGGAUCAUUACCGAGUUUACAACUCCCAAACCCCUGUGAACAUACCUAUACGUUGCCUCGGCGGAUCAGCCCGCGCCCUGUAAAAAGGGACGGCCCGCCCGAGGACCCUAAACUCUGUUUUUAGUGGAACUUCUGAGUAAAACAAACAAAUAAAUCAAAACUUUUAACAAUGGAUCU